rnacentral:rRNA from 1 species
GCGCGGCCUAACACAUGCAAGUCGAGCGGCAACAUGGAAGAUAGUCGUCGCUAUGUUGCCGGCGAGCGACGGACGGGUGAGUAAUGUCUGGCAUGCUGGCUGAUGUAGGAUGAUACCCACUGGACACGGCGGCUAAUACAGGAUAGCGUCACACGACCGAAGUGGGGAACCUUCGGGCCUCAUGCCAUCAGAUGUGCCCAGAUGGGAUUAGCUUGUAGGUGGGGUAACGGCUCACCUAGGCGACGAUCCCUAGCUGGUCUGAGAGGAUGACCAGCCACACUGGAACUGAGACACGGUCCAGACUCCUACGGCAGGCAGCAGUGGGGAAUAUUGCACAAUGGGCGCAGGCCUGAUGCAGCCAUGCCGCGUGUAUGAAGAAGGCCUUCGGGUUGUAAAGUACUUUCAGUGGGGAGGAAGGCGUGAUGCUUAAUACUCAUCGCGAUUGACGUUACCCACAGAACAAGCACCGGCUAACUCCGUGCCAGCAGCCGCGGUAAUACGGAGGGUGCAAGCGUUAAUCGGAAUUACUGGGCGUAAAGCGCACGCAGGCGGUCUGUUAAGUCAGAUGUGAAAUCCCCGGGCUCAACCCGGGAACUGCAUUUGAAACUGGCAGGCUUGAGUCUCGUAGAGGGGAUAGAAUUCCAGGUGUACCGGUGAAAUGCGUAAAGAUCUGGAGGAAUACCGGUGGCGAAGGCGGCCCCCUGGACCAAGACUGACUCUCAAGUGCGAGAGCGUGGUGAGCAAACAGGAUUAGAUACCCUGGUAGUCCACGCCCUAAACGAUGUCGACUUGUAGGUUUUGCCCUUGAGGCGUGCCUUCCCCAGCUGACACGUUAACUCGACCGCCCGAGAGGUCCUCCCGCGAUGAGGACAGGCGAUUUUAAUU